rnacentral:rRNA from 2 species
GACGAACGCUGGCGGCGUGCCUAAUACAUGCAAGUCGAGCGGAGUUUCAAGAAGCUUGCUUUUUGAAACUUAGCGGCGGACGGGUGAGUAACACGUGGGCAACCUGCCCCUUAGACUGGGAUAACUCCGGGAAACCGGAGCUAAUACCGGAUAAUCCCUUUCUCCACCUGGAGAGAGGGUGAAAGAUGGCCUCGGCUAUCACUAGGGGAUGGGCCCGCGGCGCAUUAGCUAGUUGGUAAGGUAACGGCUUACCAAGGCAACGAUGCGUAGCCGACCUGAGAGGGUGAUCGGCCACACUGGGACUGAGACACGGCCCAGACUCCUACGGGAGGCAGCAGUAGGGAAUCUUCCGCAAUGGACGAAAGUCUGACGGAGCAACGCCGCGUGAGUGAGGAAGGCCUUCGGGUCGUAAAGCUCUGUUGUGAGGGAAGAAGCGGUACCGUUCGAAUAGGGCGGUACCUUGACG